CGACUUCUGGAGACAGAUUUCUUCCCUUCGGGGACCUAGUGACAGGUGCUGCAUGGCUGUCGUCAGCUCGUGUCGUGAGAUGUUGGGUUAAGUCCCGCAACGAGCGCAACCCUCGUCCUUAGUUGCCAUCAUUAAGUUGGGCACUUUAGGAAACUGCCGGUGAUAAGCCGGAGGAAGGUGGGGAUGACGUCAAGUCCUCAUGGCCCUUACAGGCUGGGCUACACACGUGCUACAAUGGCAUCUACAGUGGGCAGCUAUCCCGCAAGGGUGCGCUAAUCUCCAAAAGAUGUCUCAGUUCGGAUUGUCCUCUGCAACUCGAGGGCAUGAAGGCGGAAUCGCUAGUAAUCGCGGAUCAGCAUGCCGCGGUGAAUACGUUCCCAGGCCUU
rnacentral:rRNA from 1 species